UGACACUUCCACCUCAGCCUCCCAAAGGGCUGGGAUUACAGGUAAAUAUCUAAAUUAUCUGUAGCAACAACUUGGUGGGGUCAACUCCAAUGUUUUUGUCGGCUGUUCUUGAAGACUGCUGGGUCUCUACAAUCACAUUCUUUGGCUGGUGCCAGUGUUUAAGCACUCUGAAACUGCAUAGCAGCAUGUUUGAAGGCCGCCUGUCAAAUUUGGGAAGCUGACAUGUGACUGAGCUAGUCACGGGGGUCUUCACAGAAAAGGCAGUCUGGAUCCUGGUCGACUGGAGAUUCCAUCUGAAUGAGUGGAGUCAUUAAGACUAGAGCUCCAGGCUUCUUCAUUCAACCCCAAGGAUUCCCAGCAACAUGUGAAGUCCUCUAUCUGUCACUAAGAAGCUAUGCCAUCCAUCCUUCCCCAGAGAGCAUUACUGAGCAUUCAGUGUCAACGUAGCAUAUUCAGUAGCAGUUUAUCCCAGACACACAUCCGUGGAGAGGAGGGAGCUACACGCUUUCCUGAUCAUCUGGUUUCAUAUGAAGACAAAGGUUAAAGUAGGACAGACGAGUGAUACUCUACCAAAGAUUAAUUCCUGGCCAGAAAUACAGCCACAAGAGCUGGUGUGAGAGAAAGAUGAUGAAAAGGUGAGAAGAAAACACCUUGGUAGCUGCUGGAUCAAGGCAAAUGAGAGACACAUGGAGGUCACCUAGAUCCAACUCUACAGCUUGGAGCUAAGCCUAACUUAGCCAAGUCUAAGUUUGACCUCAGCCAAUUCAUAGAUGUUUGAGCCAGAAGUAAGGUGCUUUUGUUGCUGGAAGCCAGUUACAUUUUGAGAUCUUUUUGAAAAAAUAUAUUGUCAUUGCAGACAUAGCUACACAUAGUUUUCCACGCUCUGGGAAGUCAAAUUAAGCAUGCUUAGACUUUUAGAACAGAAGUCCAUUAUUAGUAUGGUGGCAAAAAUGUUACAAGUGACAUAGUCCUCUAAUUUCCUUCUAGUCCUCUGCCUAAGAACUAGAGUACUUCAUUUUGAAGUGGAGCCCUAAUGGGAGUGUUCAUCUUCUGUCACCAGGGUUAAGGCUCUUGAUGCUUACUACUAGACACUCACAGUUGUUAGUUCCCUGGAAGACGUGAAAGAGCUUGGUUGGCUCUGGAGUUGUCAGUCAAUAACCAACUGUAACAGACCUACCCUUCCAACAAAAUCUUGAUUCAGGAAAUUGAGUGUCUGCUUAUAGUUAAUCCUCUAUUUUUUGACACCUAAUAGGAGAAACAUUUUCAAAAGAUCAAUGACCUGACUCAGUUAAUGUGCAAGGAAAAAUAAGCAGUUCCAAACUUGUCAGUUUAUCCGUCAUCCCUUAUCCAAAAUCCUUCAACUCUCUUGGAAUUAUUUUGUUCUCCAUACUUACCCAACAAAUAUCUUACUUUUGUCUUGGACUUUCUUUUAUAGUUAUCUCACAUAAGCUCCUUGUGACUAAGGGCACAUAUUUGGAAUCAGACUACUCAAGUUCAACUCUUGGGUCUACCAUUUAUUAGCCUGUAUUACUUUGGGCAAGAUAAUUAAAUUCUCCAGGUCUAACUUCUCCCAUUAUAAAAUAAUAAUAGUUAUUACCUGCUAGGAUUGUCUUGAGAAGUAAAUGAGAUAAUUCAUAAGAACCCUUUAGCACAGUGCCAGCCACAUAAUGAAGGCAUAGUAAGGGAAAGUUAUUAUGCUGCUGAUAAUACUUGUCUAGGCAGGGCUCUCAUAUUUUUCUCUGGAUCCCUUACUGUACAAUUCAUCUGUCCAAUGACAUGCUAAGAUUGUUUUAGAGUGAGUUGCUUCAGAGUUGAAUAAUUCUAACAGUAUAUUCUCACGUUUGGAAACAACUUGGAAUUCCAUUUAGUGUAGACAUCAACAAUGAAAUCUCUAGAGGAUUAGUAAUUUCUACAGUUUUUAUUCAUUAUAGAGACACCAAUGAAAAGAACUGGGUAGAAGGUCAGGAGGUCAAAGAGAUUGAGUUUAAACCCUCACUAUGCUGAGUACUGUUAAUAAUGGUAUGAUCUUAAGAGAUCUAAUCUUUAGUUUUUCCCACCUAAAAAACAGAGUUGUCAUGAGUAUUUAAUAAUAGAGGGUAGUACGUAAACUUCCUAGCAUAUAGCAACUGCUUAAUAAAUAUAAGUUACAGUUUUUUCUAAAUUUGCCAAAGAGCCAAGGGAAAAAAUGAAGAUUUUGUAGCCAAAACCAUUUCUCUUUCUCUGUUAUGUGCCUUUCUGUUCCAGAAACAGAAUUAAUUCCCUGAACCUCAUUAAAGGAAGGAUUUGAACAUUUUUAAAAAAGUCAAUCUCUUUGGGUUUGUUAUUGCUUGUUUCCCAUACCUCAGAGACACAAAUACAAACCUUUAUAAUGUCAUCAGGAAGAAGGGGAGGUCAAACACUCCUUAACUCAAUAAUUGUAAGGUUAUUAUUUUGCAAGGAAUAGAGUCAAAAUUCCAUUCAUGUGAGGACUGUAACUUCUUCAUUACUCCUUCAGGCAAGAUGUCCUUGAUUUUAAGUAGCUCAUGUAGAAACUAGUUAUAAGUCUUUAAUAGAGAGACUGUACUGGAAUUAUAGGAUAUACUUAGGGAUUUGAGCUUCCCCACCCACUUGCUUUAGAGUGACAGUUCACACCUAUAAAAACACAAAAGUCCAAGGGUUUAUUAAACAUUAGAAGACCCAAAAAGCCAAGACUUCUGCCCGUAAAAGUGAUGCUUCCUAAGGGGAAGAAAUGGAAUUUCUCAGAGAAUACAACUUGGCUUGAACAAUGGACUGUACAAGGAAGAUUAGGAGGUAACUACUGGGGUAAAAGAGAGAUGGUUGCAUCUUUCUGGAACACUCUAAUAAAACUGUAAGUUUUUCCUGAUUUCUUCUUUUAUGUGAUAAAAGGGUCAAAUUUGAUACAUAAAGUCAUAAUGUCCCACAUGUACUGCUCAGGAACAUCUGUUUAGUCCUACUACAAAACUUGGGGAACAUGGUUUCCUAAUGCGGUACCAGUCCUCUCUUCAUGGAUUACUUGGGAAAGAAAUUCUGACUGGCAGACUCCACAAGUAUAAGACAGUAAGAGGCCAAUUUCUUUAUUCCUCUCCUCUUCUCCACUUGUCCUCCCACCUCAGCUUUGGGAGAAUAACAAAGUGUGGAAUAGAAAUAAAGGAGCCUUGUUGUAUUUCAUUGGCCUCAAGAGGUCUCAUCUAUUAAAGAGAUCCAUUAUGUUACUCUCAGAGAAAAUUAUAGUCAAAAAUAUUUCAAGUUUUAGGGAAAUACUGAAUAUAUAAGGAUUCUGUUACUUAAUCUCUGUGCUCUUAUCUUGGGAUGGCAAAGCUCAGUGAGGCUAUCUUGAAAGUAGCCUGAAAUCAAUUGAUCAGAUGCUACUUGGCAGGAGGAGCCCACCAGGAGGAUCAAGGACAUGGGUGACACAGUGAGUGUAAUUAGUCGUCAAUAUAGGCUAGGUUAGGUGUUAGUGGCAAAUUAUCUCCAAAUCUCAGUGGCUUAGUACAAUAAAGGCUUAUUGCUGAUUCAUGCAGCAUGUAUACUGCAGGUCCAAAAAGGCUCUGUUUCACUCACAGAUCCAGAUUGUAACAUUAUUUGCCAUCUCAUAGCUACAUGAUCUAAACAUCAGUAGAAGGAAGGUGUCGUGGGUCAGGCUACCUGGAAAACAGAUCAAGAUAAAGAUUUCUGUGCAGAAAGGUUAUUGGGGAGGGAAUUCUGAUUGACAUCUGCCAGGGAGAGCGCAAAAAUGGUUGAGCAAACAAUUGUUGAACUAUGUUGUAACAACAAAGGUCUUGGCCAAUCUAA